rnacentral:lncRNA from 1 species
ACUUGAGGGGUUGCUCUGACUUGGCCUCCUCCAAGAACGCAAGGGCCGCCGGGGCUGGCUCUUCGUGGUAACCGGGAUGGUACUGAGCAGCAGGUUUUCACCCUGGUGCCGCUGCUGUGCGAAUGCCUGACUUGGGCGCCCAGGCACCCGCCCCAGGGUCCGCGUGGCAGGUGUGCAGGUAAGGUGCAUCUCUGGACAUGCUUUCUUCUAAAUGGGAGCGCUGUCAGGCCAUGCAGGUGCAUGGCAGCGUCCUGGGCAUGGUGAUCAGAGGCACGGCUGGUGUGAUCUUCUUGACCUUCUCCAUCAUCGCCAUCCUUUCCCAAAGGCCAAGGAAGUGACCUGCCUGUUGGCAUUGGCCAGACCACAGCAGCACCUCCUCCAUGCAGGCCUUACCUUCCAAUGGUCAGUGCAGUUUGGGGCAGCUUUUUAAUCAGCCUUGCUUUGGAUAGGACCUCCAAGGUCUAAGGCCUCCAGCCCCAUGUGUGACCCUUGUCAUCUUUCUGCCCCACAUAAUUCUGUUACUCUGCUAUGUGCUCCUAAUGUAUCUAGUGUGUCCUGUGACAACAUUCAUCAUACUUCAUUAUAAACCACUUGUUUGAUUGACUGUCUUUCCUAUAGACUGUAAGCCCCAUGAGGGCAGGCACAUGUUGUUAUUGACCAUGCUGGCCACAUGCCUAGAUGCAUGGCUGGCACAUUGUGGGCACUCAACAAUGGUUGAAUAAAUAAAACAAUAAAUGAAUGAAUAAGAUAUACAAACUCAUUUAUAUUGCAGAUCAAAUAUAUAUGAUGAAAUUCUUAUGUUGAAUAUGUU